GGUUAUGAAGCCAAACGGUUUGGCGGCGGUCUGCAAAACCGCAGUACAAAGUUCGAUUCUUUGCAUAACCU
rnacentral:tRNA from 1 species